rnacentral:rRNA from 1 species
UUAAUUGAAGAGUUUGAUCAUGGCUCAGAUUGAACGCUGGCGGCAGGCCUAACACAUGCAAGUCGAGCGGAAACGAAGGGGUGCUUGCACCUUUGGCGUCGAGCGGCGGACGGGUGAGUAAUGCUUGGGAAUAUGCCUUAUGGUGGGGGACAACAGUUGGAAACGACUGCUAAUACCGCAUAAUGUCUACGGACCAAAGUGGGGGACCUUCGGGCCUCACGCCAUAAGAUUAGCCCAAGUGGGAUUAGCUAGUUGGUGAGGUAAUGGCUCACCAAGGCGACGAUCCCUAGCUGGUUUGAGAGGAUGAUCAGCCACACUGGGACUGAGACACGGCCCAGACUC